CACAUUGGGACUGAGAUACGGCCCAAACUCCUACGGGAGGCAGCAGCUAAGAAUCUUCCGCAAUGGACGAAAGUCUGACGGAGCGACGCCGUGUGAAUGAAGAAGGCCGAAAGGUUGUAAAAUUCUUUUGCAGAUGAAGAAUAAGAAGAAGAGGGAAUGCUUCUUUGAUGACGGUAGUCAUGCGAAUAAGCCCCGGCUAAUUACGUGCCAGCAGCCGCGGUAACACGUAAGGGGCGAGCGUUGUUCGGAAUUAUUGGGCGUAAAGGGUAUGUAGGCGGUUAGGUAAGCCUGGUGUGAAAUCUACGAGCUCAACUCGUAAACUGCAUUGGGUACUGCUUGACUUGAAUCACGGAGGGGAAACCGGAAUUCCAAGUGUAGGGGUGGAAUCUGUAGAUAUUUGGAAGAACACCGGUGGCGAAGGCGGGUUUCUGGCCGAUGAUUGACGCUGAUAUACGAAGGUGCGGGGAGCAAACAGGGUUAGAUACCCUGGUAGUCCGCACAGUAAACGAUGUACACUAGGUGUCUGGCAACAAAGCUGGGUGCCAAAGCAAACGUGGUAAGUGUACCGCCUGGGGAGUAUGCCCGCAAGGGUGAAACUCAAAGGAAUUGACGGGGGCCCGCACAAGCGGUGGAGCAUGUGGUUUAAUUCGAUAGUACGCGAGGAACCUUACCUGGGUUUGACAUAGUACUUAAGUUCGUAGAGAUACGGAUGCGUAGCAAUACGAAGUACAACAGGUGCUGCAUGGCUGUCGUCAGCUCGUGCCGUGAGGU
rnacentral:rRNA from 1 species